UACAGAGGUCUCAAGCGUUGUUCGGAUUCAUUGGGCGUAAAAGGGCGCGUAGGCUGCGGGGCAAGUCGGGUGUGAAAUCUCAGAGCUCAACUCUGAAACUGCACUCGAUACUGCUUUGCUCGAGGACUGGAGAGGAGAUUGGAAUUCACGGUGUAGCAGUGAAAUGCGUAGAUAUCGUGAGGAAGACCAGUGGCGAAGGCGGAUCUCUGGACAGUUCCUGACGCUGAGGCGCGAAGGCCAGGGGAGCAAACGGG
rnacentral:rRNA from 1 species